UACCCGCAGCACAAGUGGUGGGCAUUAUUAUUGGGCCUAAAGCGUCCGUAGCUGGCUUGUUAGAUGCCUGGGUAAAUCGAUGCGCUCAACGUAUCGACUUCCGGGUAGACCGGCAAGCUCGAGACCGGGAGAGGUGUAGGCUACUCGAGGGGUAGGGGUAAAAUCCUGUAAUCCUUCGGGGAGGACCAGUGGCGAAGGCGCUACACUAGAACGGCUCUGACAGUGAGGGACGAAGCCCUGGGGCGCAAACCGG
rnacentral:rRNA from 1 species